AUAUGGUGAAAUUCUAGAUUGUCCACGUCGAUUAAAAAAAUUAGCCAAUUAGAACAUUUCAUUUGUACAGGUUUGCUUUUGGUUGGGCUUCAUUUGAUUAUUGCCCAUAUUAAACAAACAGGCAGCGAGUGGGCUUAAAAGUUGAGAUCUGUUUGAUGUAAGCUCUUUUCUCAUUAUCACACAAGUAAACGACGACAAAAGAAACAUCGUCAUCUCCGUACCGCUUCGUCUUCUCCGAUUAGAUUCCAUAGAAACUGAUCCCCCUCUACACAAUCAAUCACAUCCUUUAGUUCGAGCAAUUAAUUUCGUCUUGAUGAUUUCGUUCCAGCUCCCUUUGUUCCUCCUUUAUAUACCGAUCUAUUUUCAAGAACGAAUUGUAAUCGUUGUUUGAAAAAAAAAAUCAUUGGGAAAGCCUUCCUCAAUUUUUGGUUGUGGUGAAGCCUUUUUAGUGAAAGGUUUGCACUGUUUUCCAAUUUAUAUUUUGUGACUUAAAGAAUUAUGGCUUCCAAUCUCCCGGCCCUCGAUUGGAACAUGUUCAUGGCGAUGUACAUGACCAUUUGCAAGCCCUCACGAAUGGUUUCCAGAGGUUGGAGUUACUAUACAACAAUUUCUCGAACAAAAAACAGCUCACUGGAGUAGAAGAAUGCGGAUACUAAAUGCCAGUGUAGCCACAGGUAAUCUCCACUGGAAAAUAGUCAUGUUUACAUCAACAAGAUGAAUCAGGUAAAUGAUUGUUGAUCUGAUCAAAAAGAUAAAAGAGAGCCAAAUUAUUUUUGAACAGUGGGGAAUCUUUAGCUUGAUUCAGUGCACAUGGAUGUGAACUUUGUUAUACCAAAUACAUAAGGAUAUUUCAAAUGGCAGGGUAAAAAGAGAAAUCAGAAACAGAACUAUAGCUGAUAUAAAAACACAUUCGUUAUGACAACAGUGAUGAUAAUGAAGUUAUGGGAUCCACAUUCGUCUUUUACUCGAGCAUCCUCUUUGAGAAACGCCAAAUGAAAGACUGUAAAAGGUAUGUCUUGGCUUUGUCAUCUAGGCAUUUAGUGUUAGUUUAUUUUGUGAUAACGAGAUUUUUUUGUUAGGAUCAUCUAUAUAAUGUACACACAUGUUGGUGACUAAGUUUGCAACAUCUUAGGAACAAUGAAAUAGCCGGUGAGGAGAUUCGUUUAUGAAAAUUUGAUUCUCACUUAAUGUAUGUUCCCCAUGAUUAUAGAUAAAUAAGCGACAUUAAUGAGCUCUCAAGUAUCUUAUAGAUUUCCAGUGGAAAAAGGUUGAAGAACCAAAAGAGUUCACACUUGAGCUGUUCUUUGAGGCUUAUUGCACUGAAGAACAAUGAGAUUGCCGGUCUGGAGGUUCGUUAUUAGGAUAUGUUCUUAAAGAAAAUGUUACUCUCUUUCUAGAUGGAUUUCCAAUGAUUAUACUAAAUAUAAGCAAGAUGAAUGAACUCGCAAGUAUCUCAAAGAUAUCAAAUUGAAUAGGUUUAAAGAACCAAAAAGAUUCACGCUUGAUCUUUUCUUUGAUUAGAACCCUUACUACCAUAACACUGUCUUCACCAAGACAUCUCACAUGAUUGAUAAAGAUAAUCUUAUCCUCGAGAUGGCCAUUGGGUAUGAUCUUUUCCUCUUACGAUGUAUUUAUUGUUUUUAUUUCUUGAGGCCAAGUGUUAUUGAUCCAUACCUUUUGUAUCUUAUAUGAUAUAUGUAAAAAAUCGAUUGUCUACUUAUAAAACAGGUCCAGGAGUAACAAGAGAAGCUGGAGUAUGAUGAAAGGAAGCCAAAAGGAGAGGAGAGAUUCAUCACGAGUGUGUUGUAUAUAUACCCUAUGUAUCUCAGUUUUUUCGCCAGACCAAUAGUGACUGAAUUUAUUGUCAUUCGUGAUAAUGACCAACAGAUAAAAGAAAAUAAUGACCUCUCCAACAACAGGUUCUCAUAAAUUUGUUUGGAGGACAAUAGCAUUCCGUUGGUUUGGCCAAUUUCAACUAAACUUUUUCUCUAUAAUAAAAUCAUUCAGUUUGGAAUGAAAACCUUUUAGUUA